rnacentral:pre_miRNA from 1 species
AAUAAACCAAUUUUUUAUUUUUUACCAAUAAUUUUUGACUCUUUGUCUUAUUUAAAUUUUUUUAUUAAUAUUUUUGUUUUUAUUAGAUGACAAAUCAUGAAUAGUACUUUACGUGUGACUAAUUUUUUUCUAAUUUCCUAAAAAAUUUUCAAAUAAGAUAGAUAGUCAAACGUUGGACACGGAAAUCGGAG